AGUCAGCGUCCUCCCUCCCACGCAGCACCAACCGAGGUUCUCGACUCUUGAGCAAUCCGCCAGCCAUGGCAUCCCCCACUCCUCCGGCGUCCCAGUCAGACCGCGCCGCGCUCCUCAAGGCCUUCGACGAGGCGCGCACGGGUGUCCGCGGCCUCGUGGAGUCCGGCGUCUCCUCAGUCCCCGCGCUCUUCAUCCAUCCGGACCCCUACGCCUCCGCGCCCCUUGCGCCGCCGGGCGCCUCCAUCCCCGUCGUCGACCUCUCCCUCCCCGCGCCCCUCGCCGCGGCGGCCGCCGCCGAGGCCGCCCGCAGCUGGGGCUUCUUCCACCUCGUCAACCACCACCAGGCCCUCGGCGUCCCCGAGGACUACCCCGCGCGGGCGCUCGCCGCCGUGCGCGCCUUCAACGAGCUCCCGGCCGCCGAGCGCGCCGCGCACUACGGCCGCGCCAUGCCCGGUGGGGUCUCCUACUCUUCCAACGUCGACCUGUACCGGUCCCCCGCCGCGAGCUGGCGUGACACCAUCCAGAUCGCGCUCGGGCCCAAUCGGCCCGACCCGGCGCGCAUCCCGGCAGUCUGCCGCGACGAGGUCCUCGAGUGGGACGCGCACGCCACCGCCGUCGGCUGCGCCGUGCUAGGGCUCCUUUCGGAGGGGCUCGAGCUCGGAUCCUCGAGGCUGGAGGCGGCUUCCUGCCUCGAGGGCAAGGUUAUGGUGUGUCACUACUAUCCAGUGUGCCCUGAGCCUGAGCGCACCAUGGGCCUUGUCCCGCACUCAGAUCCCGGCGUGCUCACCGUCCUGGCGCAGGAUGGUAUCGGUGGCCUGCAGGUGAAACAAAACGAUGAAGAUGGGACGAGCCGCUGGGUGGAUGUGAAGCCUGUGCCGGGUGCGCUUGUAAUCAACGUCGGGGACCUCUUGCAGAUCAUGUCUAAUGAUGAGUACAAGAGCGUUGACCAUCGCGUGAUUAUGAAUACACGAGAAGAAGCAAGAGUUUCAAUCGCAAUAUUUUUCAAUCCUGGCAAGAGAGGGGACAACGUUUUUUAUGGGCCACUGCCAGAGCUGGUUUCUUCAGAUAGUCGUAGUCCACCAAAGUACAGGAAUUUUACCAUGUCUGAGUUUCUGGGGGCCUUCUUUAGGCGAGACCUUGCCAGCAAAGCUCUGGUUGAGCACUUCAAAUUGUAAAUACUUAACCACAGUUACUUCAAACUGUAAUACUUUAUGUUUACAAACCCAACCCAACCAACAAAAGUUCAAACUUGUGCCAACACAUGUGACAGGUGAAUAAUGUAAGGAAAAAGUUUCUCUCGUAAAAGUCAUGCUACAGUCAUCCAGUUCCAUUAGAUUUAUGGUGGAGGUCAAAUGAAUGAUAGAUUGUUUCCUUGAUGCCAUCAAAUUAAUGCUGGACAGAAACAUGGACACAGACAUCAUUGGCUACUCUACUCACCUGAAAUUGGGAUGGGUGUCGCAUGCUGCCCAGAACUCUGCAUGGGUUCACUAGGCCUUGUUUGGAUGCGAUCAGAUUGACAUCAAUCCACAUGUGUUAGGGGUGGAUUAGGGUGGUACACCCCUAGCACAUGUGGAUUGAGGUGAAUCCGAUAACAUCCAAACAAGGCCUUAUAUGGACAUGAGCCCCUAGGGCUUGUAGUUUUACUUGUAAAAUUUCUUCAGUGUAUCUUAUCUAUUUGUUUUUUGAUAAUGGCAUAGCUUAUCUAUUGAAGCAAUCACUGAUUUAUUGUUUUUCAUUCCAAAUUCUGGCAUGGAAUUAUUGUUCAACAUCUAGAAUAUACAUUAUUGCUGCCAGUCCCCAGAAUAAGUGAAAGCUAACUUUUGUAAGCUUGUUACAUUGUUUAGCUACGUAUUUCAUACUUUAUCCCACAAAAUAUUUCUUAUUACAAGCUGUUCCAUUGUGAAAAAUUGUUGAUAUGGAAGCUGAACUGCCAAAGCAUCGGUCAGCAAAAGAGUUCACAUGUCCACAUCAACAGGGGUCACGUCUUGAAUAUUUUGGAUCUCUGAGAAGUAAGUCCGCUGAAAUGCUGAGAGAAUAUUUUUUUUCUCCAUGUUAAUCACUUAAUUACAAAUUCUUUGGAUGUACUUAUCAUUGAAGUUGAGAUAUAAUGUAAGUGUCAGUUUCAGAGGAAAUGCUGACAUUCCUUUCGCACUGUUCAUGCUUGCAAAUGUUGACACAAGGAUUCAUCACUUAACUUUUCCAAAAGAAACUGCUAUGAAUUGUUCCUGUAAUCCUUUUUAGAAGAAUCAGUUGGUAUACUGACCAUUUCAUCUGGUGUGGCUGUGUGGGUAUGUGUCUCCCCUUGCAUACUAUGGGUUAGUAGCCUUGCAAACUUUUAACUUUGACAUGCUUUUUGUGCUCGCCGGAAUGGUUAGUAGCCUGCAGUUGGAACAUAUUGGUGAGGAUGGGUAGAGCUAUUUGGGUUGAUGUAAAGCCUGUGGCCAUAAUUUUUGUGAUCAAUAUCAGCGAUGUUUUCCAGGUAAAAUGCAACACUUUGAUGCCCAAUCAAACUCAGUUCUGUGUUUCAAUUGUCUGAAUUGUUUGUGCUUCCUGUAGGGUUCGGAUCAAUGCAUAUAAGCUACUGUAGGAUUUACCUGCAUUUGAUCUUGUGCACUGAAGAGCUUUGACCUGCUACUUUUCAUUGAAACAGUAGAAAAAUUCAUUAACGGAGUUAGAGAAAGAUAUAGUAUAGUUCAUAUUUAUUUCAUAUACUGUGUGCGUUAUACCAUGGCAUUAAAAAUCUCUACUUUAUAGGUUUAUGCACAAGUAAACAGAAAUUGGGCUACUAUGCUACAACCUGUAGUUCUACAAACUUAUUAAUCAAGGAACUUCACAAUGACCUUGCUCCAUCUUUCUUUCUAACCAUUUCUUUCCACUAGAUAAUGGCUAAUUAUACUUGUAGAGCUAUGAAUAUUGUGUCACAAUGAAUUAGCUAGCAUGCCGAACCUGUACUUUUUAUUGUUACCGUUUUCUCCCAGUCGGGAUGAUGCAGGCCUCAAAUUAUAUGGAUCACUGCCCUAUCUGUGUCCUUGGAAAUUCAACACACAAAUUGUGAACUUGUGCGCAGGCGACCAUGUCAGUGUCACUACUGUACUCCAAUGCAAUUAUUUUACCUCAUAGAAGUCACGCUACUGCUGCUGCUUCUGUGUAAUUUGGCAUUAGGCAGUAACGCAUUUUUGACAUCCAGUUUUAUAUUGGAUCAAGGAGCUGAGCCUGGCCUAAAGGCUGGAUAAUCAGCUUGCGAAGGCUGCAAUGCUCUUUCGUUAAUGAGUCAGCUUAGUUGGUUUGCUGCCUUUUUAUGCCUUUUUGUAAAGCUCGCUUUGUUUAUGGAUCCAAAACAAGCAUUAUAUGCAUGGGUUUCUUUAUGGACUUCUUGUCUUACUGAGCUCUCCACUGCCCCCAUCCACUGUUCACAUGCAGCAACAGAAACAAAGAUUUUGCACAGAGAGCAUUCGGGAUCUUUUGCAGAAGCCAGAAGCUACUCAGCCAUUGCAUGUUGCAUUUCUCCUUAUGUUAGCUGUGGACACUUCAUACACACACUUCAUAGCAGUUGACAGCUUUUAACGAGAUAUGGUUGCUGCUGCUCAGACCUGAUACCUGUAUUGUAAUAGCUCUGGUUUUCUGUUCUGUUUCACAUAUUUAUUUACAGCGGCACACUGUUGUGUAGGAGCCUCUUGGAUCGUUGGUGUUGGGAGGCGAUCACUUGAUAUCUUAUCGAGUGGUUAAAGCCGUGUCUGAAAAGCUUGGAGGACAUGUUGACAUUCUUCAUCUUGAUAAAUAUCCAGAUGUCUAUGAUUGUUUUGAAGGAAAGAUUUAUUCACAUGCCUCUUCAUUUGUCAGCAGGAGACUGCUACAGAAACUUGGGGGAGGUGCAAACGGAGUGUAUGUGUCAUGCAGAUACUCCGUAAGUAAGUAAAAACGUGUCAUGUUUGUAUAUAAGACCUUGGCAUAACAUGUUGCUAUAUAACAAAGAUGUGUCAUAUGAUGUAUAUUAGUAUA